rnacentral:lncRNA from 1 species
UCUUCUCCCAAAUAAUUGCCCCGAACCAAGUUGACCCCAUUCCCCAUUUAUUCCGCCCUGUUGCUGCUCAGAGCUGUGCUCGCCGCCCCAUCUAUCUCCCCCAGCCAGUAUCCUACCAUGCGUCUCUACAACCUCUGUUCCAUCUGUCCGGUACGCCGUACGCGUCAGCGGCCGCGCGGCGACGGCCGCACAACCUGCCAUCCGGCAACCUCACAAACCUAAGGUCGUGCUCAUCUCCACCACGACCAGGCCCUCUGCUCGACAUGCAAUCAUGUACUGCAGUCCACCUCAUCGGAACUCCGUCUCUUUUCGGGUAUGAAGCCAUCACCACUGGACUACUGCAGGACUGGCCCACCCAUCCGCAUAUGGCCUAGGGUUAGAGUCAUCUCUCUUGAUACAUGGUUCAAUUCAUGCAUUGCAUGUUAAUUUGGCAUA